AACGAACGCUGGCGGCAGGCUUAACACAUGCAAGUCGAGCGCCCCGCAAGGGGAGCGGCAGACGGGUGAGUAACGCGUGGGAACGUACCUUUCGGUUCGGAACAACUCCGGGAAACUGGAGCUAAUACCGGAUAAGCCCUAACGGGGAAAGAUUUAUCGCCGAAAGAUCGGCCCGCGUCUGAUUAGCUAGUUGGUGAGGUAACGGCUCACCAAGGCGACGAUCAGUAGCUGGUCUGAGAGGAUGAUCAGCCACACUGGGACUGAGACACGGCCCAGACUCCUACGGGAGGCAGCAGUGGGGAAUAUUGGACAAUGGGCGCAAGCCUGAUCCAGCCAUGCCGCGUGAGUGAUGAAGGCCUUAGGGUUGUAAAGCUCUUUUGUCCGGGAAGAUAAUGACUGUACCGGAAGAAUAAGCCCCGGCUAACUUCGUG
rnacentral:rRNA from 1 species